rnacentral:rRNA from 1 species
UACGUAGGGUGCAAGCGUUGUCCGGAAUUAUUGGGCGUAAAGAGCUCGUAGGCGGUCUGUCGCGUCGGCUGUGAAAACUCGGGGCUCAACCCCGAGCCUGCAGUCGAUACGGGCAGACUAGAGUGCGGUAGGGGAGACUGGAAUUCCUGGUGUAGCGGUGAUAUGCGUAGAUAUCGGGAGGAACACCAGUGGCGAAGGCGGCUCUCUGGGCCUUUCCUGACGCUGAGACGCGAAAGCGUGGGGAGCGAACCGG